GAUGAACGCUAGCGGCAGGCUUAAUACAUGCAAGUCGUGGGGCAGCAGGUCUGUAGCAAUACAGAUGCUGGCGACCGGCAAACGGGUGCGGAACACGUACACAACUUUCCUUUAAGUGGGGAAUAGCCCAGAGAAAUUUGGAUUAAUACCCCGUAACAUAGUGAAAAGGCAUCUUUUUAUUAUUAUAGCAGCAAUGCGCUUAAUGAUGGGUGUGCGCCUGAUUAGGUAGUUGGCGGAGUAAUAGCCCACCAAGCCUACGAUCAGUAACUGGUGUGAGAGCACGACCAGUCACACGGGCACUGAGACACGGGCCCGACUCCUACGGGAGGCAGCAGUAAGGAAUAUUGGGCAAUGGACGCAAGUCUGACCCAGCCAUGCCGCGUGGAGGAUGAAGGUCCUCUGGAUUGUAAACUUCCUUUAUCUGGGAAGAAAUCCAUCUUUUCUUGGGUGGUUGACGGUACCAGAUGAAUAAGCACCGGCUAACUCCGUGCCAGCCGCCGCGGUAAAAC
rnacentral:rRNA from 1 species